rnacentral:rRNA from 1 species
CCUACGGGAGGCUGCAGUGGGGAAUAUUGGACAAUGGGCGAAAGCCUGAUCCAGCCAUGCCGCGUGUGUGAAGAAGGCCUUCGGGUUGUAAAGCACUUUCAGUGGGGAAGAAAGCCUUGGGGCUAAUACCCUCGAGGAAGGACAUCACCCACAGAAGAAGCACCGGCAUAACUCCGUGCCAGCAGCCGCGGUAAUACGGAGGGUGCGAGCGUUAAUCGGAAUUACUGGGCGUAAAGCGCGCGUAGGCGGUCUGAUAAGCCGGUUGUGAAAGCCCCGGGCUCAACCUGGGAACGGCAUCCGGAACUGUCAGGCUAGAGUGCAGGAGAGGAAGGUAGAAUUCCCGGUGUAGCGGUGAAAUGCGUAGAGAUCGGGAGGAAUACCAGUGGCGAAGGCGGCCUUCUGGACUGACACUGACGCUGAGGUGCGAAAGCGUGGGUAGCAAACAGGAUUAGAUACCCUUGUAGUC